AUGAGAAGCCAUUGGUACCGUGGGCUAGAGAGGGCUUAAUUUAGGGAAGGGUGGGGGCAAGAGGAGGAGAGGUGGAAGGUGCUGGGUUCUCGCUGGUAUCCGAUGGGACAGGGGCUGAGGAAAGCCAGGGAUGUGGUCUGGCCAGUCUCACCCGGGAUGCCAACAGCAGCUCAGUUUCUCAGCUGGUAGGCAUUUGGUGGAGGGACUGUCGUGGGUGCAUAAAGAGAAAGGCUACUUUGAGGUAGGGUCAGGGCCUGGGGUGGGAACAGGGUUUAGGCUCAAGUAAGACAAGGUUAGCUGGUUGUCAGGGAGAGGAAGCCAGUCAAAUAAGGUGUCUACGCCUGGUUAAAAAGGGGGGCACCAAGUUGCCUGCUGACUGAAACUGGUUCCAGAAAGUGAUGUGAAAAACUGUAAGCUGGGGCCAUCCUCCUAGAAAGGACCUUCUAACCUGACUGGGAGUUGUACGCCCCUGGGACCUAGGAGUCAACUUUAGACCUGGCAGUCAACCUUGGACCUGGGAACCAGCUUGGAAUGUGGUCCCUUCUCAUUCAAGAACUACCUAAUAUCACGGAAGGAAUACCGACCUUGUUGCCCAAACAAUGAAGUCCCACCCCAGCCCAAAUUGCAUACUUCCCCAAGCAUGUAAUCCCUACUUCCCCAUGUAAUCUUUGCCCUUCUUCUCAAGAUAAGCAGCUGGCUUAUGGAAGGUUGCAGAGCAGGUUUUUGUGGAUGACCCGCUGCUCUCCCAUACCGCUGGCAUUAUUGGAAUAAACGUUCUUAUAUGAUUCAA